CAGCAGCAGCCGCGGGAAUACGUAGGUGGCAAGCGUUGUCCGGAAUUAUUGGGCGUAAAGGGCUCGCAGGCGGUUUCUUAAGUCUGAUGUGAAAGCCCCCGGCUCAACCGGGGAGGGUCAUUGGAAACUGGGAAACUUGAGUGCAGAAGAGGAGAGUGGAAUUCCACGUGUAACGGUGAAAUGCGUAGAGAUGUGGAGGAACACCAGUGGCGAAGGCGACUCUCUGGUCUGUAACUGACGCUGAGGAGCGAAAGCGUGGGGAGCGAACAGGAUUAGAUACCCGCGUAGUCCCUGUCUCUUAUAC
rnacentral:rRNA from 1 species